UAGGGAAUAUUGGUCAAUGGAGGCAACUCUGAACCAGCCAUGCCGCGUGGAGGAUGAAUGCCCUCUGGGUUGUAAACUCCUUUUAUCUGGGAAGAAACACCUCGACUUUGUCGGGGCCUGACGGUACCAGAGGAAUAAGCACCGGCUAACUCCGUGCCAGCAGCCGCGGUAAUACGGAGGGUGCAAGCGUUAUCCGGAUUUACUGGGUUUAAAGGGUGCGUAGGCGGGUUGAUAAGUCAGUGGUGAAAGCCCCAAGCUUAACUUGGGAAUUGCCAUUGAUACUGCCAGUCUUGAAUACGGUUGAGGUAGGCGGAAUAUAGCAUGUAGCGGUGAAAUGCUUAGAUAUGCUAUAGAACACCGAUUGCGAAGGCAGCUUACUAAGCCGUUAUUGACGCUGAGGCACGAAAGCGUGGGGAGCAAACAGG
rnacentral:rRNA from 1 species